rfam:Astyanax mexicanus chromosome 7, whole genome shotgun sequence.
UGUACUUCUUAUUGUAAGUCGCUUUGGACAAAAGCGUCUGCCAAAUGAAAUGUA